AGUGAUUAUGGAUACCAGAUGUUUUUGUAUAAAGAAUUGUUGACUGAUUUUGAGUAGGAUUUUAAAAUUCAUUACAUGUUGACUUUGCAGGUUGAAGCUGCAAAGAAGAAUGUUUGUUUUUCAAAACAACCCGUUAUGACUCGGACCCAUCUUGACCCAGACCGGUUACGUAACCGACCUGCCUAUUUUUCCAGAUGUAAACGGGUCAAACUUAGCUCCAUUUACAUUUGGCUUUACGUUUCUUGGGGAAUUCAGAUGUAGUGGAGUCUUGCAUUAGAUGUACACACACAUUAGCAGUGCCUGUGUCUCAGUAUCAUCGAAGUAAAAUGAUUUGGUUUUUUUUUAAGGUUAUGUAAGAUUUGAAGCUUGUACGCUGAUUUUAAUUUUUUUUUUUCUGCAAAUAAGUGGUAGAAUGUUGUGCUUGGAAUCUUAUCGUUAGAUUAAAAAGAAAAAAAAAAGAAAACAAAGUCUCUAAUUGCUA